GGUUAAGCGACUAAGCGUACACGGUGGAUGCCCUGGCAGUCAGAGGCGAUGAAGGACGUGCUAAUCUGCGAUAAGCGUCGGUAAGGUGAUAUGAACCGUUAUAACCGGCGAUUUCCGAAUGGGGAAACCCAGUGUGAUUCGUCACACUAUCAUUAACUGAAUCCAUAGGUUAAUGAGGCGAACCGGGGGAACUGAAACAUCUAAGUACCCCGAGGAAAAGAAAUCAACCGAGAUUCCCCCAGUAGCGGCGAGCGAACGGGGAGCAGCCCAGAGCCUGAAUCAGUGUGUGUGUUAGUGGAAGCGUCUGGAAAGGCGUGCGAUACAGGGUGACAGCCCCGUACACAAAAAUGCACAUGCUGUGAGCUCGAUGAGUAGGGCGGGACACGUGGUAUCCUGUCUGAAUAUGGGGGGACCAUCCUCCAAGGCUAAAUACUCCUGACUGACCGAUAGUGAACCAGUACCGUGAGGGAAAGGCGAAAAGAACCCCGGCGAGGGGAGUGAAAAAGAACCUGAAACCGUGUACGUACAAGCAGUGGGAGCACAGAGCAAUCUGUGUGACUGCGUACCUUUUGUAUAAUGGGUCAGCGACUUAUAUUCUGUAGCAAGGUUAACCGAAUAGGGGAGCCGAAGGGAAACCGAGUCUUAACUGGGCGUUAAGUUGCAGGGUAUAGACCCGAAACCCGGUGAUCUAGCCAUGGGCAGGUUGAAGGUUGGGUAACACUAACUGGAGGACCGAACCGACUAAUGUUGAAAAAUUAGCGGAUGACUUGUGGCUGGGGGUGAAAGGCCAAUCAAACCGGGAGAUAGCUGGUUCUCCCCGAAAGCUAUUUAGGUAGCGCCUCGUGAAUUCAUCUCCGGGGGUAGAGCACUGUUUCGGCAAGGGGGUCAUCCCGACUUACCAACCCGAUGCAAACUGCGAAUACCGGAGAAUGUUAUCACGGGAGACACACGGCGGGUGCUAACGUCCGUCGUGAAGAGGGAAACAACCCAGACCGCCAGCUAAGGUCCCAAAGUCAUGGUUAAGUGGGAAACGAUGUGGGAAGGCCCAGACAGCCAGGAUGUUGGCUUAGAAGCAGCCAUCAUUUAAAGAAAGCGUAAUAGCUCACUGGUCGAGUCGGCCUGCGCGGAAGAUGUAACGGGGCUAAACCAUGCACCGAAGCUGCGGCAGCGACGCUUAUGCGUUGUUGGGUAGGGGAGCGUUCUGUAAGCCUGCGAAGGUGUGCUGUGAGGCAUGCUGGAGGUAUCAGAAGUGCGAAUGCUGACAUAAGUAACGAUAAAGCGGGUGAAAAGCCCGCUCGCCGGAAGACCAAGGGUUCCUGUCCAACGUUAAUCGGGGCAGGGUGAGUCGACCCCUAAGGCGAGGCCGAAAGGCGUAGUCGAUGGGAAACAGGUUAAUAUUCCUGUACUUGGUGUUACUGCGAAGGGGGGACGGAGAAGGCUAUGUUGGCCGGGCGACGGUUGUCCCGGUUUAAGCGUGUAGGCUGGUUUUCCAGGCAAAUCCGGAAAAUCAAGGCUGAGGCGUGAUGACGAGGCACUACGGUGCUGAAGCAACAAAUGCCCUGCUUCCAGGAAAAGCCUCUAAGCAUCAGGUAACAUCAAAUCGUACCCCAAACCGACACAGGUGGUCAGGUAGAGAAUACCAAGGCGCUUGAGAGAACUCGGGUGAAGGAACUAGGCAAAAUGGUGCCGUAACUUCGGGAGAAGGCACGCUGAUAUGUAGGUGAAGUCCCUCGCGGAUGGAGCUGAAAUCAGUCGAAGAUACCAGCUGGCUGCAACUGUUUAUUAAAAACACAGCACUGUGCAAACACGAAAGUGGACGUAUACGGUGUGACGCCUGCCCGGUGCCGGAAGGUUAAUUGAUGGGGUUAGCGCAAGCGAAGCUCUUGAUCGAAGCCCCGGUAAACGGCGGCCGUAACUAUAACGGUCCUAAGGUAGCGAAAUUCCUUGUCGGGUAAGUUCCGACCUGCACGAAUGGCGUAAUGAUGGCCAGGCUGUCUCCACCCGAGACUCAGUGAAAUUGAACUCGCUGUGAAGAUGCAGUGUACCCGCGGCAAGACGGAAAGACCCCGUGAACCUUUACUAUAGCUUGACACUGAACAUUGAGCCUUGAUGUGUAGGAUAGGUGGGAGGCUUUGAAGUGUGGACGCCAGUCUGCAUGGAGCCGACCUUGAAAUACCACCCUUUAAUGUUUGAUGUUCUAACGUUGACCCGUGAUCCGGGUUGCGGACAGUGUCUGGUGGGUAGUUUGACUGGGGCGGUCUCCUCCUAAAGAGUAACGGAGGAGCACGAAGGUUGGCUAAUCCUGGUCGGACAUCAGGAGGUUAGUGCAAUGGCAUAAGCCAGCUUGACUGCGAGCGUGACGGCGCGAGCAGGUGCGAAAGCAGGUCAUAGUGAUCCGGUGGUUCUGAAUGGAAGGGCCAUCGCUCAACGGAUAAAAGGUACUCCGGGGAUAACAGGCUGAUACCGCCCAAGAGUUCAUAUCGACGGCGGUGUUUGGCACCUCGAUGUCGGCUCAUCACAUCCUGGGGCUGAAGUAGGUCCCAAGGGUAUGGCUGUUCGCCAUUUAAAGUGGUACGCGAGCUGGGUUUAGAACGUCGUGAGACAGUUCGGUCCCUAUCUGCCGUGGGCGCUGGAGAACUGAGGGGGGCUGCUCCUAGUACGAGAGGACCGGAGUGGACGCAUCACUGGUGUUCGGGUUGUCAUGCCAAUGGCACUGCCCGGUAGCUAAAUGCGGAAGAGAUAAGUGCUGAAAGCAUCUAAGCACGAAACUUGCCCCGAGAUGAGUUCUCCCUGACUCCUUGAGAGUCCUGAAGGAACGUUGAAGACGACGACGUUGAUAGGCCGGGUGUGUAAGCGCAGCGAUGCGUUGAGCUAACCGGUACUAAUGAACCGUGAGGCUUAACCUU
rnacentral:rRNA from 2 species